GCGUGGAGGUGGUGGGGCACGGGUGAGGCCGCGUGGCCGCUGGGUAACAGGCGGGCGGAAGUGUCGCCCACUGGCCGUGCCCGCAGUGUCCCGGCGCUGGGACCAUCCCACAUCCUUCAGGAAAAGAAAGGCAGCAUAUUAUAGUGCAGAGAACAGAGACUUUGGAAACAAACCUGGAUUUAUACUCUGACUCUGCAAUUUACUGUUUAUGGUCAAGUCACAUAAUCUGCAUCUUUGUUUCUUCAUCUACAAUAUGGGUGGAACAAUUGACCUUUCAGGACUCUUUUGUGAAAAUGAAGGAAGCAACAUAGAAGUCAUCUCUUCCGCCCCUAGCAGACUGAUUUGUCUGCACGUGGUUGGGCACAUGGCCCAGCCUGGGAUAGUAUUCUAUCCUCCUGGCUAUUGUGACUGAUACAGAGCUGCGUCUGUGACCUAUGCUGCAGCAGCCACAGUCCUCCAUCCAGUUUUUUUUAACCAGCUUCAUCAAAAUUCUCCUCCGCCCUGGAUAACAAGCCGCACAGUCCAAUGUGUUAACCACUAGCUACAUGUAGCUAUUUAAUUUCAAAUUAAUUAAAAUUAAAUAAAAUUUAUAACUCAGUUCCUCAGUCCUACGAGCCACAUUUGGAGUUCUCAAUAGCCACAUGUGGCUAACAGCUACUGUGCUUACCAGCACAGAUGCAGAAGUUACAUCGGGCAGCACUGAUACCUCAGACUGACUGGCAACAACGGCCCCCCUCAAAAAGCGUAAGAAGGUUUAUGAGAACGAAGCUGACACCAAGACAUAAGCGAGAGAGAUGAGAGAGAACUGCUAUGGCUUUUAAGUAUCUCAUUCCCAAUUAUUCUGGUUCCCUCCGAAAUGUUGUUAUAUGGUGCAAGAAAUUCCUCCUUUUGGUCUUCAAACAGUUCAAGUUGAACUUCUGUCACUUACAACCAAAAAAUCUUGAUGAAUCACAUUCUUUGGCUUGACGGGCAGCAAACCAGAUGCAGAAUCCUGGAGGGCUAACUCUGGUAAGGAUCUGUAAACGAGACAGAGCUGGACCCUAAAAGUACUACAACAAGGGGUGAACAUUUUGGCCUGUCUUCACGGCCACCUUCCUACUUACUUAGUUGGGGCCUUCUUUUAAGAAACCUUGUCUCAGGACUUCCCUGGUGGUGCAGUGGUUAAGAAUCUGCCUGCCAAUGCAGGGGACACGGGUUUGAUCCCUGGUCCAGGAAGAUCCCACAUGCUGGGGAGCAGCUAAACCCGUGCACCUCAACUACUGAGCCCACGUGCCACAACUACUGAAGCCUGCGCACCUAGAGCCCGUGCUCCACAGCAAGAGAAGCCACUGCAAUGAGAAGUCCCCACACCAAAACAAAGAGUAGCCCCCACUCGCCACAACUAGAGAAAGCCCAAGUGCAGCAACGAAGACCCAACACAGCCAAAAAAUACAUAAAAUUAAAGAAAAAACCAACCUUGUCUCUCCCUAUGUUGAAUCCCAUGUAUCAUAAAUUCAUCUUCUUAGUGUCCCCAGACUCACCACUGGGCACCCAAUCAUUCUCUU